rfam:Methylovorus glucosetrophus SIP3-4, complete genome.
GCGAAAGUGGCGGAAUUGGUAGACGCACUGGAUUUAGGUUCCAGCGCCGCAAGGCGUGAGAGUUCGAGUCUCUCCUUUCGCA